GCUGGGAUGGCAGAGCCCGGUAAUUGCGAGAGGCCUAAGCCCUCUCACCCAGAGGUUCAAAUCCUCUUCCCAGUU
rnacentral:tRNA from 1 species